AUCAAGUCAGAGCCCCAAGCAGAGCUGCCUGAAGCUCAGAGUUCCAUCAUAGCAGUGAAGGGGAGGAAGAAGGAAGACAUGAGAAGAAUUCGAGAGGAGAUUCAUCUCCAUCAGCACAGGAGCGAUCAACAAAACCAGGUAAGUGGAAGAGUGGCAGCCACUCCACUCAUUAAACAGCGUGUUUAUUCUUGUUUACAGACCAUCAAGGAAGAUGUGCAGGCAGAGCUGCAGGAAUCUGAGGAGAGGGACAAGGCAAGGGAGAAGAGGCUGGAGGAAGAAAUGAAAAUCUUCAGAGAGAAACUUAACUGGCUCCCUUGGGCUCUGAAAAAGCAAGAGACAAAAACAAAAGCCAUCUCUCCCCUGGCUCCCUCUGCUCCUGGAGAAGAAGCCAAAAAGUAGCAAAGGGACCAAGAUGACCACAACACUCCAACCGUGGUUACAGCCCAGCCUGAUCAUCCCAAGAGAGUCCUUGUAGAGAAAAAGCAGGAGCAGAUUGCUUUAUCAGAGAUGCCAUGCCAGGCUCAGGGAGAGCUGUUCCCAGCCUGAGAGCAGGAAGAGCAGCUCAGGCAGCAGGUGGAAGAGCCACAGCAGAAUGGCCAGAACAUUUACAAACAGAUGCCGGCAGAGCUGCAGGAAACUGAGGCUAGGAACAAGGCAAGGAAGAAGAGGCCAGAAGAAAUUCUUGAAAUCAUCAUAAAGAAAUUUAAACCCAUCCUUCAGGAGAAAAUGGCUCUAGAUGCGAAAGUGCAUGUGUUGACAUCCUACCUGGAAGCCUUUGAAGAGUUCCAGCAAAUGACAGCAGACCAAGAGACCCAAGACUGGAGUGAGGCCCAGGAACCAAACCAACCAGAGAUGCUGCAGGAUAAGCACAUCCCGAGGAUGGUGCAGGAAAAGACAAAUCAAGAGCAGAUCUGCAGUGACCUUCUCACUGAAGCAGCUGCUGCAACAGCAGCAGCAGCAGCACCAUCCCAAGGAGCCUUUGCUCUCCAGCCGGAGAAGUGGAGCUGGGGCACUUGGUUCACCUCCUGUGCUGACCCAGCUGCCGCUCAGCAACAGCCAAUCGAGGAUGACUCCCUGCAGCAAUGGAGUACGUCUGCUGUCUUUCUUGUCUGAGCAACAGUGUAUUGUGUGCACGUGUCAGCAUAGCUGUACCAAAGGGUCCUCCUCAGUUUGGUGUCACAAGGACAUUUAGGACUGCCCAUGGGAAGUGCUGGCAGUGCUCUGAGGCAGCGAGAGAGCGCCUGGCUGUUCCUGCUGCCUCUGAGGGCAGCUUAGACUGGGCUUCCCUCUGGGCUGAAGGCAGAAGCAGGGAUUGUUCCUGCAUCAGCAGAAGGCUGUGACUGCUUGAGUGACUAGCCAUGGGCAGAAGCCCACCUCACAUCAGUCUCUAGGAAAACACAUCAAGUCCUUUGUGAUUCUGC